rnacentral:misc_RNA from 1 species
GAUGAAGAACGGAGCGAAAUGCGAUACGUAAUGUGAAUUGCAGAAUUCAGUGAAUCAUCGAGUCUUUGAACGCACAUUGCGCCCCCUGGUAUUCCGGGGGGCAUGCCUGUCCGAGCGUCAUUGCUGCCCUCAAGCACGGCUUGUGUGUUGGGCCUCCGUCCUCCUCCCGGGGGACGGGCCCGAAAGGCAGCGGCGGCACCGCGUCCGGUCCUCGAGCGUAUGGGGCUUCGUCACCCGCACUUGUAGGCCCGGCCGGCGCUUGCCGACACAUCAAUCUUUUUUCCAGGUUGACCUCGGAUCAGGUAGGGAUACCCGCUGAACUUAAGCAUAUCAAUAAGCGGAGGA